AAACGGAGCGCGUGCAUAUGUGGUGCGUAAAAAUCGGAGUUCGUAUGCCAAAGUUAUGGGUAUUUUCGUGUGAGAGGUAUUUUGGUCAUUUCAUCACACCUUAAUUAUAAGGGGCUGAUCAGCCCCAUUUCCAGCCAUUCUCCCCAUCCCUUACGACAGAAACCAGAAAGAAAAAGAGAGAGAGAGAGAGAGAGAGAGAGAGAGAGAGAGAGAGAGAGAGAGAGAGAGAGAGAGAGAGAGAGAGAGAGAGAGAGAGAGAGAGAGAGAGAGAGAGAGAGAGAGAGAGAGAGAGAGAGAGAGAGAGAGAGAGAGAGAGAGAGAGAGAGAGAGAGAGAGAGAGAUCUUCCGGUGCCGAUUCCGGCAAUUUCCGGCAGCAAAAAUGGGCGACGUACCGAGUUAUUGCUCGACGAAGGAAUUCGUAUGCGUGAUCGCCUGAAUAGUACAUUUGCAGGCGAAAUUAGUUGAGGUCGGGCGUACAUAGAAUUGAGGCAUAGUCAACAGCAUGGCUUCCGCGUUUGCCCUUGAAUUAGAAUGUUGGAGCAUGAUGAGGGCUAGUGGAUGGUAGAAUUAAUCUCUUGUUCAGGAGAUCUUCAAUAUCUUUUCUGAAUUCUUUUUUAUGUUCCUCUUUAUAUUGAGCAAUGGCUUUGACAUGGCAUAUAAC